GUUGGUUGCCAUGGUUGAUAAGAUCAUUUUCUAGCAGCAAAAUUCAUUUUCAUUCCAUUUUUGUGUUUGGUAGACAAAAGGAGCCUAAGGCUCAAAGAAACAAACUAAAUAGCAACAUUACAAGGAUAAGAAGUUCCACAAAGAUCAUGCUGUAACCAUGAAAAAAUUCCCAUAGGAGGAGCAUUGAAGACAUGAGUACCCAAAGGAAACCUAGAAGCAAAGUGCGCCAUCCAAUCUGCUGAAAAAUUAGCUUCCCUAUAAAUGUAAACAAAAUGAACAGACAAAUCCACUUUCACAUUGAGACAGGAUUGAAUAGCUUGGAUCAAAGAAUGCAGAACUGGAGGACAAUUAAAAUGUCCCUAUAGAAUGGACACCGCCACCUUGUUAUCACUCUCCACAAUCAAGUUUCGAAUGUUCGUAGAAAGAGCCAACUUUAGCCCUUCAAGUAUAGCCUAAAUCUCAGCAGCAAGAAUGGAGCAAUGACCUACAUUUGAGACAAAACCUUUAUACCAAACACCAUUCUCAUCCCUUAUCAGACCUCCAACUGUAGCUUCCCCUAUAGAGUUUCUUUGAGACCCAUCCGUAUUUAGCUUAAAAAUACCCAAUGGAGGCUUCUACCAACUAAUCAAAGGAGCAACUCUAGUAAGCCUGGAACCAUUGGCUUUAAAAGCUUAUUUGAAAUAGAAAGAAACUCUUUCACCUGAACUAUAAUCUGAUCAACAUUGCAACUCAAAAGAGAGUUAUCAUUUAUAAACAGAUGACGAUUCCUUCUGUACCAAAUGCAGCAACAUGCCACUCCAAACAAAACUUCCCAAGAAAUACCAAAUCAAUCCAUACCCUUUUGCCUUAAAUUCCAAGCUACCCAGUCCCUCAUAGACAUAUCCCCACCAAAAAAAAGACCAACUGUAAAUCAGGAGAAACUAGCAGUACCCAAAGAUGUUAAGUAAGCAGACAAUCACGACGUAUAUGAAAGAUAUCCUCAGCAUGAUUCACACAAAAUCACAUGCGGUAGACUGAGCAAUAUGUCUCCUACACCUCUCCACAUUAAUUAGAAGCUUGCUCUGAGCAAGAAGCCAAAGGAAAGAUCUAAUAUGUUGAGGGCCACACCAUUUCCAUAAUAAAUUCCAAACUGAAGAAUGCGGAAUGCAAGAGAGGCCAACAGCUAUUGUAAGCAGAUUUAAUAGAGAAUGUGCCUAAUUUGGAUUCUCCCUAAAACACAGUAUCAGGGCCAUGCGCAGAGGAAGGAGGUGGAAUCACAGCAAUAUUCAUUAAGGUUUGCCUUGGCAGAUAACACUUCAACACAUUCCAGCUCCAAUAUUCUAGCCAAAAGCUUCUUCUUUUUUCGAAAAAUAUUCCCAAAUACCUAUCUAUUCCAAUCACGAACUUGAGAUGUAAAAUUACUAACCGUCUCCAUAAACGAGGAAGAUCUUUGCCAAGCACCAUUAUCAAAAGAGUCAAAAGACUCUUGUGACAUCCAAGUAGCAUGAAAGCGUAAAGGAUGAUCUACAGUGAACAUGGUGGUUGAAGAAGACAAACUAAGAAAAAGCGAAUAAUGAUCUGAAUAAAUUUUUGGCCGGUGAAUUAAAGCAGCUACAAGAAAAGCCAGUCUCCAUUGCUCAUUACAAACCACUCAAUCUAACUGCUCAUUACAAGCCCUUCAUUGAAAUCACACUGAACG
rnacentral:misc_RNA from 1 species